GAUGAACGCUGGCGGCGUGCCUAAUACAUGCAAGUCGAGCGAACAGAUGAGGAGCUUGCUCCUCUGACGUUAGCGGCGGACGGGUGAGUAACACGUGGAUAACCUACCUAUAAGACUGGGAUAGCUUCGGGAAACCGGAGCUAAUACCGGAUAAUAUAUUGAACCGCAUGGAUCAAUAGUGAAAGACGGUUUUGCUGUCACUUAUAGAUGGAUCCGCGCCGCAUUAGCUAGUUGGUAAGGUAACGGCUUACCAAGGCAACGAUGCGUAGCCGACCUGAGAGGGUGAUCGGCCACACUGGAACUGAGACACGGUCCAGACUCCUACGGGAGGCAGCAGUAGGGAAUUUUCCACAAUGGGCGAAAGCCUGACGGAGCAACGCCGCGUGAGUGAUGAAGGUCUUCGGAUCGUAAAACUCUUUUAUUAGGGAAGAACAAAUGUGUAAGUAACUAUGCACGUCUUGACGGUACCUAAUCAGAAAGCCACGGCUAACUACGUG
rnacentral:rRNA from 1 species